GAUGAACGCUGGCGGCGUGCCUAAUACAUGCAAGUCGAGCGAACGGACGAGAAGCUUGCUUCUCUGAUGUUAGCGGCGGACGGGUGAGUAACACGUGGAUAACCUACCUAUAAGACUGGGAUAACUUCGGGAAACCGGAGCUAAUACCGGAUGAUAUUUUGAACCGCAUGGUUCAAAAGUGAAAGACGGUCUUGCUGUCACUUAUAGAUGGAUCCGCGCUGCAUUAGCUAGUUGGUAAGGUAACGGCUUACCAAGGCAACGAUGCAUAGCCGACCUGAGAGGGGGGUAGCCCACCUGAGAACUUAGACACGGUCCAGACUCCUGCGGGAGGCACCAGUAGGGAAUGUUCGGCAGUAGGGGAAAGCAUGACGGAGCAACGCCGCGUGAGUGAUGAAGGUCUUCGGAGCGUAAAACUCUGUUAUGAGGUAUGAACAUCUGUCUAAGUAACUGUGCACAUCUUGACGGUACCUAAUAAGAAAGCCACGGCUAACUACGUG
rnacentral:rRNA from 1 species